GAGUUUGAUCCUGGCUCAGAUUGAACGCUGGCGGCAGGCCUAACACAUGCAAGUCGAGCGGAUGAAGGGAGCUUGCUCCUGGAUUCAGCGGCGGACGGGUGAGUAAUGCCUAGGAAUCUGCCUGGUAGUGGGGGAUAACGUCCGGAAACGGGCGCUAAUACCGCAUACGUCCUGAGGGAGAAAGUGGGGGAUCUUCGGACCUCACGCUAUCAGAUGAGCCUAGGUCGGAUUAGCUAGUUGGUGGGGUAAAGGCCUACCAAGGCGACGAUCCGUAACUGGUCUGAGAGGAUGAUCAGUCACACUGGAACUGAGACACGGUCCAGACUCCUACGGGAGGCAGCAGUGGGGAAUAUUGGACAAUGGGCGAAAGCCUGAUCCAGCCAUGCCGCGUGUGUGAAGAAAGGUCUUCGG
rnacentral:rRNA from 1 species